UGUAUGUAUCAUAAUUCAUAACACAUCAAAAUAAAUUGUAGUCAAUUAUGUUGUGAUGUUUUAGUUGAAUUAUGCAUUAAAUAUAUUUCAAAAACUAAAGCCAAAUCAAAUCAAUUUCAUAUUCAUUGAAUAGUCAUAUAGCAUGUAGAAUACUUUUGUUAAUGCGUACUUACUUGGUUAAAAUAACAUCAUGCAUGGAUAUGUUGUGCAGUUUUGCCACAAAUGCCAUUGAAUACUAAUUAAAUUAGGUCUUAGUAGUUUGUAGCAUGAUAAUUUCUCG
rnacentral:lncRNA from 1 species